CNGAAGAUUCGUGAUUAGAGUUUGAUCCUGGCUCAGAAUGAACGUUGGCGGCGUGGAUUAGGCAUGCAAGUCGAGCGGGUGUAGCAAUACAUCAGCGGCGAAAGGGAGAGUAAUACGUGGAUACCUGCCCCCGGGCCUGGGAUAGCUUCGGGAAACUGAAGGUAAUACCAGAUAACGUCUCCGGACCAAAGGUGUGAUUCCGUCCGGGGAGGGGUCCGCGGCCUAUUAGCUAGUUGGUGAGGUAACGGCCCACCAAGGCGAAGAUGGGUACGAGGCGUGAGAGCGUGUCCUCGCUCACUGGGACUGAGACACUGCCCAGACACCUACGGGUGGCUGCAGUCGAGAAUCAUUCGCAAUGGGCGAAAGCCUGACGGUGCGACGCCGCGUGAGGGAUGAAGGCCUUCGGGUCGUAAACCUCUGUCAGGAGUUAUGAACGGCGGGGGCGCUAACAACGCCUCCGCGUGACAAAGGCUCCAAAGGAAGCUCCGGCUAACUACGUGC
rnacentral:rRNA from 1 species